rnacentral:rRNA from 1 species
AUAUUGGACAAUGGGCGAAAGCCUGAUCCAGCAAUGCCGCGUGAGUGAUGAAGGCNUUNNGGUUGNANAGCUCUUUUACCAGGNNNNNUAAUGACAGUAACUGGAGAAUAAGCUCCGGCUAACUCCGUGCCAGCAGCCGCGGUAAUACGGAGGGAGCUAGCGUUGUUCGGAAAUACUGGGCGUAAAGCGCGCGUAGGCGGCGUCGUAAGUCAGGGGUGAAAUCCCGGGGCUCAACCCCGGAACUGCCCUUGAAACUGCAGCGCUAGAAUCUUGGAGAGGUCAGUGGAAUUCCGAGUGUAGAGGUGAAAUUCGUAGAUAUUCGGAAGAACACCAGUGGCGAAGGCGACUGACUGGACAAGUGUUGACGCUGAGGUGCGAAAGCGUGGGGAGCAAACAG